rnacentral:rRNA from 1 species
CUACGGGCGGCUGCAGUGGGGAAUAUUGGACAAUGGACCAAAAGUCUGAUCCAGCAAUUCUGUGUGCACGAUGAAGGUCUUCGGAUUGUAAAGUGCUUUCAGUAGGGAAGAAGAAUGUGACGGUACCUACAGAAGAAGCGACGGCUAAAUACGUGCCAGCAGCCGCGGUAAUACGUAUGUCGCAAGCGUUAUCCGGAAUUAUUGGGCAUAAAGGGCGUCUAGGUGGUUUACUAAGUCUGAUGUGAAAAUGCGGGGCUCAACUCCGUAUUGCGUUGGAAACUGGUUUACUAGAGUCUUGGAGAGGUGGGCAGAACUACAAGUGUAGAGGUGAAAUUCGUAGAUAUUUGUAGGAAUGCCGAUGACGAAGGUAGCUCACUGGACAAGUACUGACACUAAAGCGCGAAAGCUAGGGGAGCAAACAGGAUUAGAUACCCCCGUAGUC